UAGUCCUUGAUGAUUAUUGGCUUUGGGAUCCUGACUUUGCAACUGCUUCAAAGUAUGUGAUGAGUCCUCCAAUCCGGGAAGCAGGGCAUAAUAAAGCACUUCAAGCUGCUCUUUCAUCAGGAAUAUUACAGCUUGUGGGAACUGAUCAUUGCACCUUCAAUUCCACUCAGAAAGCUUUCGGUUCUGAUGAUUUCAGGAAGAUUCCCAAUGGCGUAAAUGGUAAGCCAUAGGGCUUGAACAAAGGAAACU